rfam:Camelus ferus unplaced genomic scaffold scaffold714, whole genome shotgun sequence.
GAGGAUAUAGCUCAAGUGGUAGAGCACAUGCUUAGCAUCCAUGAAGUCCUGGGUUCAAUCCCCAUUACUGUCA